rnacentral:rRNA from 1 species
CCUACGGGUGGCAGCAGUGAGGAAUAUUGGUCAAUGGACGAGAGUCUGAACCAGCCAAGUAGCGUGAAGGAUGACUGCCCUAUGGGUUGUAAACUUCUUUUAUAUGGGAAUAAAAUGUUCCACGUGUGGGAUUUUGUAUGUACCAUAUGAAUAAGGAUCGGCUAACUCCGUGCCAGCAGCCGCGGUAAUACGGAGGAUCCGAGCGUUAUCCGGAUUUAUUGGGUUUAAAGGGAGCGUAGGUGGAUUGUUAAGUCAGUUGUGAAAGUUUGCGGCUCAACCGUAAAAUUGCAGUUGAAACUGGCAGUCUUGAGUACAGUAGAGGUGGGCGGAAUUCGUGGUGGAGCGGUGAAAUGCUUAGAUAUCACGAAGAACUCCGAUUGCGAAGGCAGUUCACUGGACUGCAACUGACACUGAGGCUCGAAAGUGUGGGUAUCAAACAGGAUUAGAUACCCUAGUAGUC